GCGCGCGUCACCAACUGCGACGUGCGGACCGAGCCGCCAUCUUGAAGCGGCAGGGAGUCCCGCAACAUCCCCCUAACUUCUUUCUUUUUUUCUUUUGCUUGACCCUUGGCAUGAGCAGACUUUAAAACCAUGUGUGCGUGUCUGCUGUUCGAAACAAACAAUUCCGUGUCAAAAUUUGACAAGUCAUGGUGGACUUAUUGCCGCCAAACUCCCGCUUCAAGAUACUGGCUCGGUCCUCAACGACUGGCGGCUCCCUCUGGUGGUGAUGACUCACAUCGUGAUGAUCAUGCCGGAAAAUCAAUGCUGGUAACCUUCGUUCACCUUACUUAGCAGAGGGGAGGGAACGAGGAAAUUGACGAGCGAGCUCAACCUUUUUCAAGCGAAGCGGCCGGCCGAGCCCGGCGGGCCGGCAGACAGCUAGCUCCUCAUGCUGUUUGCAGCACAAAAAUGUCACCAGAUGACGCCAAGCAAUACCGCCGAAGCUACCGCUUUCAACAAAGGAGAGGGAACACAACUGCCUGGCAAACCGCCAACUACGGUGUUACAGAGCAAGUCCAUGGUGUGAGACCUCUAGAAAUGGCCAGGGGUACGAACUGCAAGCAAAAUUCUUCAAGCUGACUUUUUGUGUGCCCCCCCCAGCACAUUUGAUAAAAGAACAAGCUUUGGAAUUCUCCACCCAUGAUCAGCUAGGUUGGGGGAAUAUCCAGAGCCACUUUCAAACCUUUCUAUGGUAAAUAUGGCAGUGAUGGCGGCUUCACGGAAGAUUAAUAAAAUCAAAUACCCUUAUUGCCCCCCCCCCACACACACACACACACACACUGGUGGUUGACAUGGCAACACAAGACACUCGCCAUUGGUUCAGCGGGACACAGGGCAGGACAUGCAGGUGCUCCAUUCUAUUUUGAUGCAAGUGUGUUUGUUUUGAACCCACCUGGGAAUUGUCUUCCAAUUGUAAAAAAGGCUAAACGCUUGAAA